CCUACGGGCGGCAGCAGUGGGGAAUAUUGGUCAAUGGGCGAAAGCCUGAUCCAGCCAUGCCGCGUGUGUGAAGAAGGCCUUCGGGUUGUAAAGCACUUUCAGUGGGGAAGAAAGCCUUGGGGCUAAUACCCUCGAGGAAGGACAUCACCCACAGAAGAAGCACCGGCUAACUCCGUGCCAGCAGCCGCGGUAAUACGGAGGGUGCGAGCGUUAAUCGGAAUUACUGGGCGUAAAGCGCGCGUAGGCGGUCUGAUAAGCCGGUUGUGAAAGCCCCGGGCUCAACCUGGGAACGGCAUCCGGAACUGUCAGGCUAGAGUGCAGGAGAGGAAGGUAGAAUUCCCGGUGUAGCGGUGAAAUGCGUAGAGAUCGGGAGGAAUACCAGUGGCGAAGGCGGCCUUCUGGACUGACACUGACGCUGAGGUGCGAAAGCGUGGGUAGCAAACAGGAUUAGAUACCCCUGUAGUC
rnacentral:rRNA from 1 species